rnacentral:misc_RNA from 1 species
UUUCCGUAGGUGAACCUGCGGAAGGAUCAUUCAUAAUAGGUGUUUUGUGGCACUUUUUUAAAUCCAUAUCCACCUUGUGUGCAAUGUCAGGGUUGAUUUUUCUCUCGAGAGGAUCAACCCCAAACAUCAACUAUAUCUCAACUCUUUGUCUGAAAAAUAUUAUGAAUAAAACAAUUCAAAAUACAACUUUCAACAACGGAUCUCUUGGCUCUC